rnacentral:rRNA from 1 species
CAACUUUCAGCAACGGAUCUCUUGGCUCUCGCAUCGAUGAAGAACGCAGCGAAAUGCGAUAAGUAAUGUGAAUUGCAGAAUUCAGUGAAUCAUCGAAUCUUUGAACGCACCUUGCGCCCUUUGGCUAUUCCGAAGGGCAUGCCUGUUUGAGU